rfam:Firmicutes bacterium CAG:212 genomic scaffold, scf210
GAAAUUCUUCGGGGUAGGGUGCAAGUCCCAACCGGCGGUAUAGUCCGCGACCCACAUAAGUGGUUGAACUGGUGACUCAUAAGUUUGAUGAGAAUUCCAGUACCGACAGUAAAGUCUGGAUGAGAGAAGAAAUUG